UACGUAGGGGGCAAGCGUUGUCCGGAUUUAUUGGGCGUAAAGAGCGUGUAGGCGGCUUUGCAAGUCCGUUGUGAAAACUCGAGGCUUAACCUCGAGACGUCGAUGGAAACCGUAUGGCUAGAGUCCGGAAGAGGAGAGUGGAAUUCCUGGUGUAGCGGUGAAAUGCGCAGAUAUCAGGAAGAACACCCGUGGCGAAGGCGGCUCUCUGGGACGGUACUGACGCUGAGACGCGAAAGCGUGGGGAGCGAACAGG
rnacentral:rRNA from 1 species